rnacentral:rRNA from 1 species
CACGUAGGGCGCAAGCGUUGUCCGGAGUUACUGGGCGUAAAGGGCUCGUAGGCGGCCUGUCGCGUCGGCUGUGCAAGCCCGGGGCUCAACCCCGGAACCGCAGCCGAUACGGGCAGGCUAGAGGACGGCAGGGGCAAGUGGAAUUCCCGGUGUAGCGGUGAAAUGCGCAGAUAUCGGGAGGAACACCAGCGGCGAAGGCGGCUUGCUGGGCCGAUCCUGACGCUGAGGAGCGAAAGCGUGGGGAGCGAACAGG